GCGUGAGUGACGAAGGCCUUAGGGUUGUAAAGCUCUUUUGGCGGGGACGAUAAUGACGGUACCCGCAGAAUAAGCCCCGGCUAACUUCGUGCCAGCAGCCGCGGUAAUACGAAGGGGGCUAGCGUUGUUCGGAAUUACUGGGCGUAAAGCGCACGUAGGCGGACAUUUAAGUCAGGGGUGAAAUCCCGGGGCUCAACCUCGGAACUGCCUUUGAUACUGGGUGUCUCGAGUCCGAUAGAGGUGAGUGGAAUUCCUAGUGUAGAGGUGAAAUUCGU
rnacentral:rRNA from 1 species